UCCAGAGCCUCCUAACACCCUCCCAGUGGACCCCAAUCCUUGCUAGAAAUCCCCAGUAUGCUCCCAGUGCUGCAUAGCACCCACAAUAACCUCUCUAUGCCUUCCCAGUGCAGCUUAGUGCUGUCUUGAGCCCUCCAGUCCCCUGCUAGAGCUGCUUAGUGUAAAAGGUUUCCCAGUGCCUUUCCACUGAGUUUCAGCAUUGCCCAAAGCCCUGCAGUUAAAUGCCAGUGCUCUGUGGUAAUGUCUAGAAUCUCCCAGUGCCCCCCAGUGCAACCUACAGACACCCAGUACUCUUCUAACGCCUCACAAAAUGAGAUUUUGGACACUCAGCAUGGGGCUUUAGAUCAACAAAAUUGGGUUUGGGGAGCUGAAAAAUAGGUUAUGGACCCUGAAAAUGGGCAUAGGGAAUGAGAAAAGAUGACUUGAACCCUCAAAAAUCAUGACUUGCAGCCUAUAACUGAACUUGUGAACCCAAAGAAUAACUCCCUAGACUGAAGAGUCUGGGUCCUACAAACAGGAUUACGAGCCCCUAAAGUUAGUACUUGGAUAUUCAAAAAGGGAUCUUGUGACCAAAAAUCAGGAUGGUUAGAACCUCCAAGUGGCAUUUUGGAGUGUAAGAUAAAGAAUGAAGCUCAGGACCCAAAAAAUGAAGAUGGGAGGAUGCCUGGGGUCUGUAGGCAGUACUGAGAGCACUGAGAAAGUGCUGAGGGCAUCUAGAGAGCAAUGGGGGGAACUGGGAGCAUACUGGGAGGCUCUUGGGGGUUACUGGGAGGGCAUUUGGGGGUCUCUAGAUAGCACUGGGGCAUACUGGAAAGCUCAAGACAAUACUGGGAGACAGUGGCAGAGUAUUGGGCUGUUGCAGAAAGCUACAGGGAGCAGCAGGGGGUACUGGAACGGUGCCUGGGGGUCCCUGGACAGCAGCGAGGGGCUCCAGGCUGCGUCACACCAGGCUGUGGGUUUGGCCGGCAAGGGACGGGGCGUAGCAGGACGGCGUGUGGGGACAGGCGAGAGGCAUUUCUGCACUUCCAGGCAGGAGCUGGAGGCACAGGGCAGCGCUCGGCCAGGAGCGAGGGAUCGGAAUUGGAACCGGUGCCAUUUCCCGGCAUGCUCACAGCUCGUGGGAAGCACCCGCACACGUUUGCUCCGGGGCUGGAAGGGAGCACCGUGGGAAACCUGACUGCCCACGGCUGUGGCUCGGGCUGGGGCCGUGGUCGCGCUGCCUUCAUGGACAGGUGCUGCCUGCUCCGUGCCUGCUGCUAUGCCAAGCUGGCCGCACGCCGCUGCCGCGUGGGACAGACCCAACGCCUCCCUGUGCCCCAGCCGGGGGUCCCUGCCUGCAGCUCCGGGACGUGGUGCCAGCGCGCAGCCUGCAGGUGUGAGCGUUUGGCUCAGCUGUGCCGGGCUCGCAGCCGGGCGCUGCGCAGGUGUCGAGGCAGGCGCUGCUGAUGGAGACAGGCUCCUCGUCAUAAACCCACCUCCAUGCUGGAGGACAGCCGCCCUUUUGUGAAGCUGCGUCAUCGGACACUGGGUGUGAGGGGGGCAGCGCAGAUGGAAUGUUUCUGCUCAGAAAAACAAGGGAGGAGCAGACACCUGUGCCUUGUCACAGCAAAGGGCGAGAUGAUGGAAGCAGUCUUGCUGUUGGCGUCCACCCCUUUUGGCUCAAGCUCCCCAUUGGUAAAUCACUGCAGAGAUGUCGGCUCCCUCAGCUUCUUGCUUCGCUGCAGAAUCUUGUAUGUUGCUCCAAAAUAAAACCAGAGAGCACAAAGCUUCGGUCUUCUGUGACUUCACUGUGUUCAGUGACAACCCCUAGCACUGAGGGAAGCUUAUCUGUUAGCAGGGCUUCCUGUGGAGACACCAAUAAAAAAAAAAUCACCCAGCCCAAAGGAGCAGAGCUGAGCAGCAGGGUCCAGAGCCCGCUUAUAUGGCUGCCCAAUGGCACCAUCCCCUUUUUGCAGAAAGGAGAAGCCAGUCCAU